AAUGGUGAUGAUGAUGUAAUAAAGAUGAUAAUGAUGACGACGACGAUGAUGCUGUUAAUGAUGAUGAAGUCAACGCAGCCAGCGAGCUACUUCGAAACGGAAAAGUUUUGUUUAGUUUUUACUGCCGGUCUAAUCGUAAGCUACGAUUCUCACCGUGGUUUGUAUGAUUGGUAACCGAUCUCUACAGAAAAAAAAGAAGAAAAAGCGCUGAUUCAAGACCAAGCCCCAGGUAGUGUUCAGACAUUCGUAAAUCUAUCCUACACGUUUAUUUAUCCAAAGACACUAUGUAGUAGUUAUAUUAAUAAAUAUAUAUCUAUAUCUA
rnacentral:lncRNA from 1 species